rnacentral:lncRNA from 1 species
UGGUUGAAAAUGUGAUCUCUCAGUUCCCUGUUUCUGAGACUUGCUGCCAUGUCUUCUGGACUCACCUCCACUUGCUGUCAUUGGGAACUAACUCUCUCUAGAACCAUGGGCUCAAGUAAAAUGUUGCCUCUUCGUGUUACCCUGAGUGUAGACACUGAAAAGAUUGCACGCUAUUGGGUCUCACGAAUGGAUCCUAGCCUGCUUCAGCACACCUUUGGAUAAAUAACUUAAAUAAUUAGUAAAACAAACACACAAACAAACAAACCCUCAGGUUUUUUCUUCAUGGGCAUCAUUUUUCCCAACCAGGGACCCAAUGAAGUUUUGACAUGUGAAAAAAUUAACUGUCCUUUCUUAAGGUUAGUCUUUAACUAUUUUUAUUUGUGUAACUCUUAAUUACUGAUGAUUGCAUGAAACAAUACAUCAAAGGAUCCAAUCCCAUUCCAUAACUGCAUCACAAGCACUCUCCCCAGCUUCUGUAGUACUUGCCUCUCUCAUACAGCUUAUCUGGGUGACCUCAAAUCUAUGCUUUCUUUUUCUUUUUCUUCUUUUCAUGUUGGGUUGUUCUGUUCCUGAACAGGUUGAAAUCCUGGGCACUGCUUCAACUACCACCUGCCUGGAUCCACAGCUCCCCCAGUCUCCCACUCAGUUUCCCUUCAACCUCAGUCCCAGAGCAACCCAAUCCUAUGCUUUCUCUUCUGAUCCGUGCAGCUGAGCACAGAUGGGCAAGUCCCAGCCCCGUGCAGAUGGUAUCCUUCAAACUUGAAACACACAGCCUCAGAAUGGCCCUCCCUCCAGCAUGCCCGUGACCUUUUGGCUGAGUUCUCUACGUUUCUACACUAUCUGAUAUUUCAAAUAUUUAUUCGUUUCUUAAACCCAGGGACCAUUCUUAUUUUCACUUUCUCACUAAAUGAUAUUGCAUCCAAAGUUUCCCCUCAAAUCUCUCACCCUUUUGAUCUGGAUCUGAAACUAUAUCUGGCGCUAUCUUAUUCAUCUGUCUUUCUUGCUUUGCUCCUGACAUAGCCAAGUUCCUAGAUCUGUGUUCUGGAAUGCAUCUCAGUUGUCUGUUCCUAGUUAACAAUAGCAUCCCAAGGUUACUGGGUUUUUUUGUUUGUUUGUUUGUUUGUUUGUUUGUUUGUUUUUGAGUUAGGGGAUGAGCAGAGUCUCACUAUGUAGAUCAUACUGGCCUUGAACUUGCAGCAAAGCAAUCCUCUUCAGCUUCCCAAGUUUUGGUGGCUUUUAAGCAAAUCAUUACUAUUUCACAUAUGUUUAUAGGUAAUGAAGGCUCAGCUGAGCAUUCCCUCCACAGAUCCCUUAAACACCAGGACUCAGCUGUUGAGCUCGUCUGCAAUUCUUGACCAGUAUAGCUAUAAAAGAUGCUUCCUUUAUCAUGCUGGAAGUUGAUACUGGAUAACUCCACUGGGGUUGUACCAGAGCACCGACUGUAGCCUGAGACUUGUUUCUAAGAGAGAACACACUCAAAGCAAAUAUUCCAGGGGAAAGAAGCCACCAAACCAGUAAUAGAUUUAGUGCAGAAAUGGUGAAAUAUUGCGAUUACCCUGUCCUGUUGGUCAGACUGUUAGAGUACCCAGCUGAUUCAGUAGACAGAGAAAUAAGGUGCUACCCCGUAUGGAGCAUUGGAGAAUCAGACUGCAGAAACAGUGGGGAGGCUAACACUACAGUUGUCUUUGGGAUCCACAAUCUGUUAUAACACUAAAACUUAGCUCAUUUUCAUCUCUUUCUAUUGUACUGGUCUUCCCCUUCCUCAACCUAGGAGUAACCUCUGCCAUUUUGUUUUGUUAAGAGUAGAGAGGCAGGGGAAUUUUUCACAUAUAUUUUUUUCUGUAUGAAUAUAGAUGUCAAUGAAAGGUUUAAGCAGUGUAAGAGGAAAAGUAUGAAUUUGAGACUACUACUGUUGUGGAAAAUACUAAAAAAAAAAAAAAAAAAAAAAAAAAAAAAAGACCAGCAGAACCCCUGAGCAACUCUCUGCUCUGUCUGGCCAACCAGGCACUGGGGGGAAUGCCCAACCUGUUUUAUCUCAUGGAGACUCUCUGGCCCACAUUUUCCAAUAUCCAGGUCAGAAGUUAGUUAUUAUUUUGGGUGGGAACCCAGCUUGCUAAAUUCCCACUGGCAGAUUACUACCACGCCAGCCCAAUGUGUCAAUAAUCCCACAGCCUUUGCAGUGCCCAUCAGGCAAACCCAUGCUUUGCCACCAUACCUUUUUCCUGAGAACCCAGACUAUUCAUAGC